CCAUCGUGAUGGGUAUCCUGAUGUUCGUUUACAGCAUAUGUAAGGGCUUCUUCACUCUCAUAUGGAAGGUGCUGUUCGGUGGAGGCUUAGUGGAGGGCGCCAAGAAGAUGACUGUGACAGAAAUCCUAGCCAGUAUGCCAGAUCCAACGCAGGAUUUAGUCCACGGAGACCUGCCACCUGAACCGGGAGCUAGAGAGGACCAAGACGCAGAUGGAGGGGUGGACUUGUUAGAUGCUGUGGGAGGAGAAGAGGAAGAGGAGGAAGGCGAGGACAGGGAAGGUGGACGCCUGCCUGGUAUCAAUACUCCCGGGGGACUUGGAGACUUUGGUGAGACGACGCCUGAAGAGCCCCAACUCCAGAGGGAACACCGCUGCUGAAGAGAAAACUGUUGGCUGCUACAACAGAGGGACAAGGAGAGGAAGACCAACCCGCAACUGAAGAGGAGGCCCCUCCAGAGACUGAGAAGGCAGACACUGAAAAUGGAGAGAAGACGGAGAAGGCAGAGCCUGAACCUGAACCUGAGGCAAAGGUGGAAGAGCCCGAGGAGAUCGAGGAGAAGACUGUGAAGACCAAGGCGAAGAAGGACAAGAAACAUGCAGAGGAGGGCUUUGAGCUGUGGAAUGAACUCGAGGUUCAAAGGAUUAAGUUCAUGAACUACCUUUCUCGCAAUUUCUACAACCUUCGAUUCUUGGCUCUGUUCAUCUCCUUCGCUCUCAAUUUCAUCCUGCUCUUCUACAAGGU